rnacentral:rRNA from 1 species
UACGUAGGGGGCGAGCGUUGUCCGGAUUUAUUGGGCGUAAAGCGUGCGUAGGCGGCCAGGUAAGUUGGAUGUCAAAGCCAGCGGCUCAACCGCUGUCCGCAUCCAAAACUGUCUGGCUUGAGUGCAGGAGAGGAGAGCGGAAUUCCCGGUGUAGCGGUGGAAUGCGUAGAGAUCGGGAGGAACACCAGUGGCGAAGGCGGCUCUCUGGCCUGUUACUGACGCUGAGGCACGAAAGCGUGGGGAGCAAACAGGAUUAGAUACCCUGGUAGUCCACGCCGUAAACGAUGAGUGCUAGGUGUUGGGGAGGUUUAACUCCUCAGUGCCGAAGGUAACCCAUUAAGCACUCCGCCUGGGGAGUACGGCCGCAAGGCUGAA